GAUCUUUAUUUUUAUUUAUUAUAAAUUAAAAAGAAUUGUAUUAUUUAUAUUUAAGUUAAAAAUUUUAUUGGGGUGAUAUUAAAAUUUAAAAAACUUUUAAAAAUUAUAAACAUUAAUAUAUGAUUAAAUGAUCCAAUUUUAUUGAUUAAAAAUUUAAGUUACCUUAGGGAUAACAGCGUAAUUUUUUUUUAGAGUUCAUAUCGACAAAAAAGAUUGC
rnacentral:rRNA from 1 species